rnacentral:rRNA from 1 species
AUUGAACGCUGGCGGAAUGCUUUACAAAUGCACGUCGAACGGCAGCACGGACUUCGGUCUGGUGGCGAGUGGCGAACGGGUGAGUAAUGUAUCGGAACGUGCCCAGUCGUGGGGGAUAACGUAGUGAAAACCACGCUAAUACCGCAUACGAUCUAUUGAUGAAAGCGGAGGAUCGCAAGACCCCGCACGACUGGAGCGGCCGAUAUCAGAUUAGGUAGUGGGUGGGGUAAAGGUCCACCAAUCCAACGAUCUGUAUCUGGUCUGAGAGGUCGACCAGCCACACUGGAACUGAGACACGGUCCAGACUCCUACGGGAGGCAGCAGGGGGAAAUUUUGGACAAUGGGCGAAAGCCUGAUCCAGCCAUUCCGCGUGCAGGAUGAAGGCCCUCGGGUUGUAAACUGCUUUUGUACAGAACGAAAAGGUUUCUACUAAUACUAGGAGCUCAUGACGGUACUGUAAGUAUAAGCACCGGCUAACUACGUGCCAGCCGCCGCCGUAA